ACAGUGGUGGUUCAGUGGUAGAAUUCUUGCCUUGUAUGCAGGGGACCUGGGUUCAGUUCCCAGCCAAUGUA